rnacentral:lncRNA from 1 species
UUCGACCUUUAACCGCUUAAAUUGGUUAGAACCUAUAUGAGAUUUCUUCGAUUUUCCAUUUGGGUAUCAUAACAUUGGUCUGAUCUGAUUCCUUCAAUUACUGAUCAAUUGCUUUCCCUAUGAAUUUGCGUCCAGCCUUUAUCAAGAAAUACUUUCAUUGCAUCCAAUAUUGCUGCAGCUUAUAACAUUGGAGAGGCUGAUAAGGAUUCCUUGUGAAAAUUGCAACCCAAAAUAAUACUGCACCGUUCCAACAACAACAAGCAAAAUGGGCUAUGUGUUAAAGAACACUUGCUAAAUCAUGCAUCAUUAAAUUACUUUUUUGAUUAUGAGUGUUUAAUUUCGUUUACAAUAUUAAUGUCCACUUAUAAAUAUAUGUACAUUACUCUCUUGAUGUGGUCUCUGUAUAUUAUGUAGAUGUACAAUUUUGAGUAUUAUUUUGGCAUUUUUAACUACAAAUUAUAAAGUGAAUGAGGGCUAAAAUUAUAUCAUAACAAGGUUAAAUUUUGAGUUAGUUUAUACUUUACUAUUUUAGCUGCUUUGGUGUGAAAUUAGAAUGUUUACUAACAAUUUUAAAUAUAGUUUAUAAAUUUUUUUGGUGUGAAAUAUAGUUUAUAAAUGUUACUAAAUAAUGUUGUAGAUAUUUUUAACUCUUAGGAUUUGAGUGUAGGGUAGUUCCAUAAGUUUACUUGAUCUUUCGAUUCUAGUAACAUUAAUGAUAAUGAAGUGUGCAUGGAAAUGAUGGUGAUGCUUGAAAAAUAUAAGUUUGACAAAUUUUUAAACAAGAAAUCUCAAAGUUUAGACUAAAGUUAUAAAAUUCGAAAGUACUUUUGUUUUUUAAAGUUUCAAAACUUAGAAGUGAAAAAAUAAUACCAAAUAGUACUUCGUUAAUUUUUUUCUUUGACUUAUCUUUCCAUGUGCAUAAAUGGGAAGAUAAUCCUCAAAGCAUGGAUGAUGGUUAGAUAAUGCUAUGCCCAAGAUAAAGAUUUAUGAUGAAUUUAAUAUAUUUAUAUUCACAUUAUAAGUGUUUUUAUACUGUCAGCAAAGCAUCUAUCAUGUAUAUGUUAACUAAUAUUGACUCUCAAACAAAAGUAAUACAAAUCAAUGAUAAAUGAUGUACUGACAAUGUAAAAAACUUUAUAGUGCAUAGAUUUUAAACUUACGAAUCAAUGACCAUGAAAUUGAAGAAUAUGCAACUCACAUCACCCAAUUUUGAGUAGAAUUUAUUAAUUUUAUCAUAGGACUUCUACUCAACCUAGAAAACUAACUACCAAGUGAGUAGAAGUACUUUAAUAUGAUUUUUUCUAAUUUUGAGUAAUAAUAAUCAAAUCUUAGUUUUAUUAUGUGGGAUUAACUAAAAUUCUAAAACAUGUUAAAAUGAUAUAUAAUAAAUUAUGUCACUAACAAAAUAAUUAUGUUACAAUGUUUGAUUUUUUAGUUAGUUCAGGAGCUAAACCAAACAAAAGUAUAAUUCGGUUUAUGGUGUUUUCUAUUGUAGUAAUCAGAGUGAUUAUUAAUGGUUUGAUUCACUUUUUAAUAGAACAUGUUAGAUUUUGUCAUGAUUGUAGAUUUGGCAUUUUAUUAUCCUUCCUUUGUGUUAUCUUAUCUUUAUGCUCAAAUCUUAUAAAACUUUUUUAAUUACCAUUUUGCUUAGAAAAAAGAUGAAUGAAUUAAUAAUGUAAGUUUUUUUUAUACCGUUAAGGAUUAUUCACCAUUUAUUUUUAAUUAUUAUCGACUCUUAUAUAAAAUUAAUACAAAUGAAUGAUGUAUUAUGCAUUAACUGUGUAUAAAUCUUUACACUGUUACUAAAUAAAUAUUACAUUAUUUUGCACAAGCCUAUCACAUAUCACCUAGUGUUUGAGAAAAGGUUGUAUAUAUGAUGGUUUUUAAAGAUUAAGAUUUUUUUUAUACUGUGAAUGUAUUAUUCAUUGUUAAAAUUUAAACAUUAUUAAUUUUUUUAAAAUAUAAAUAAUAUAAAUAAAUUGUCAAUGAUAUAUUAAUUAUUUAUAAAACUUUACGCCAAUAAUGUGUAGAUAGUAAUUGGUUUGAACUGAGUUACAAACAAUUUCUUAAAACUUUAACCAAACCAUUGAAAAGAACUACAUUUUUCAAUUUGCUUCGGUCCAAUUUCAUUGCUACCCCUAAUUAAUAAUACCAACCAAAAUUUCACAUACAUUAAUGGUAUAAAAAUAAAUAAAUUUAUUUUAAAUCAAUAAUAAACAAUAUAAUUAAUAUCAUUUAUCCUAAAUCAUGUAAAAAAAAGAGAUAAGUAUUUCUCAAAUGCAAUACUACAAUAAAUAAAUGAAAGUGUAAAUAUCUCCCUCAUAUUUUUUUUUAACCUUACCAGUUUAGUCUUUCUGAAAAGAAAAGAUUUAAAAUGGUGCCCUAAAAACUUUAAAUGUGGAUCAAAUGUCUUUUUAGGAUCAAAUUAGUCCUACAAAGUAUAGUAAAAUAUGCUAAAAGAAAUUAACUAAAACUACAUUUGAAAUUUUUAACGAACAUUUUAGGUUUUUUCUUAAAGAAUUAAACCGGUAAGGUCGAAAUCAAAAAAAUACUAGGAAUAAAAUGAGCAUUUAAUCUAGAAAUGAAAAGACUAAACGAACCUGAAAACUGGUCCAGAGAAACAUAAGAAUGAGUGAAUGGAUUGAAACGCUUUAGUGAAUGAAGUGUUGAAGAAAC